ensembl:ncRNA K03H9.15 ncRNA
CUUGGGAAUCCAAAAGAAUUACAUGGAAUUACUCGUGUUCAGUCACUGUCUUUUUUUCUGCGCGCGCGAUUUGAAAUGUCUCAGUGUCGCCAGCCGAGGGUGGCCUCAGUGAGCCUGCCAGCCGUGUACCGUAAUUAGACAACCUUCCUCAUUCCCUUGGUUCUCUCUCUCUCUCGAUUGUGACAUUCUAAUUGUUGGUGUCAAAGUAUUU